rnacentral:sRNA from 25 species
GUCAGUAACCCAGCCCUAAAGGGACUGGGCUUGCAAGAGUAAUCAAGCAAGCCGUACUGACCAGACCACCCUGAGUUUACUCUCAUGGUAGCCGUUAUUUGAGUCACGACACCCACCGAAUGCGUAGCCCCUUCGGGGUUCAGCAGUCGCUCAUGGGGGAAACCCCCAAGACCGCGCUGCUUCACUAGUUCCCUGCUCUGUC